AUGAACCAGAGAAGCCCAUCAGCGUCGCGCCGACCCGGUUCUAAAGUCCACACACACACACCCACCUGGACUCGGAGUCUUCCCAGACGCCGACGAUGGGUCGUGGCGCCCCGAACCCUCCUCCUGCUGCUCUCGGGGACCCUGGCCCUGACCAAGACCUGGGCCGGCUCCCUCUCCUUGACAUAUUUCAGCACCUCCCGUGUCCCGCCCCGGCCGCGGGGAGCCCCGCUUCAUCGCAGUGGGCUACGUGGACGACACGCAGUUCCUGCGGUUCGACAGUGACGCCGCGAGUCCGAGGAUGGAGCAGGAGGGGCCGGAGUAUUGGGAGUUGCAGACACUGGGCGCUAAGGCCCAGGCACAGACUGGCUGAGUGAACCUGAGGACCCUGCUCCGAUACUACAACCAGAGCGAGGCCGCUGAGAGCCUUUACCAGGUAAUGUUUGGCUGCAACCUGGGGCCCGACGGAUGCCUCCUCCGCUGGUAUGAACAGUAUGCCUACGACGGCAAGGAUUACAUCGCCCUGAACGAGGACCUGAGCUCCUGGACACGCCGCGGGUCAGACUACCCUGCGCAAGUGGGAGGCGGCCAAUGUGGCUGAGCGAAGGAGAGCCUAUCUGGAGGGCACCUGCGUGGAGUGGCUCCGCAGGCACCUGUAGAACUGGAAGGAGACACUGCAGCGCGCGGAUCCCCCCAAGACACACGUGACCCACCACCCCGUCUCUGAACACGAGGCCACCCUGAGGUGCUGGGCCCUGGGCUUGUACCCUGCGGAGAUCACACUGACCUGGCAGUGGGACGGGGAGGACCAGACCCAGGACAUGGAGCUCGGGGAGACCAGGCCCGCAGGGGAUGGAACCUUCCAGAAGUGGGCGGCUGUGGUGGUGCCUUCUGGAGAGGAGCAGAGAUUCACAUGCCAUGUGCAGCAUGAGGGUCUGCCCAAGCCCCUCACCCUGAGAUGGGAGCUGUCUCUCCAGCCCACCAUCCCCAUCAUGGGUAUCGUUGCUGGCCUGGUUAUCCUUGCAGCUGUCAUCACUGGAGCUGUGGUCGCUGCUGUGCUAUGGAGGAUGAAGAGCUCAGACAGAAAAGGAGGGAGCUACUCUCAGGCUGCAAGUAGCCAAAGUGCCCAGGGCUCUCAUAUGUCUCUCAAGGCUUAUAAAG